GUUUGGUGACCAAGAAGAAAACCUGACUUCCGGAUAAACAAACGAUUAAAUGACAAUUGAAUCUCGAUAUCCAGUCAUACUGAUACGUUUUUCAAAGAAUUUGCAUCCCAGUUCUCCAUAACUUGUAUAUAAGUCGAUAUGAAUUCGCUUGUGGGAUACGGGGUUUCAUCCGAGUCAGAGGACGAAGAGAAAGGAGAAGACAAUACGAAGGAGUCCUUCAAGAAGACAGAAUGCACUGUAGAGAAGACGAAAAGCCGUAAUUUCCUGUUGGAGUCGGAAUCGCUUUCCAGUGAGUCUGAAUCUGGGCCAGAGAAUGAGGAUCAAGAGGAGCCGCCCAUUGCUGAUCGCUCCAUUUCCGAGCCCUCGCCACUCUUCUCUGUCCGUCCUCACACUCACAAGCUCCCUCCUCCACCUCUGGGAGGAUCCAGCUCGGGUGGCGCGCUUACAGGCAGCAGUGUGUUUGCUAAUCCAUUCAAAGAGCUGGCUGAGGAGAGACUGAAUGUCCUACAGAAACAUGUACCUCUUACUUUACAAGCGCGCCCCGCCCAGAUUGACGGUAAGCGGAUUUGUGUGGCCUACAGGAAGGAUGGCCGCUGCCGCUUUGGAAGCCGCUGCAAGUUCGCACAUGACAGCGAUCUGCAGAGUAACCGCGUGGUCACCUCUGACAGUGGACCAAAAGACAAUGUUACAGUUCCACACAAUGAUGGUCCGCUGGCUUCUUGUGAGGAAGACGCAGAGACAGAUGGAGAGAAAGACAAUGAACAGCGAAAGAAGAGAAGAGUGGGACUGAAUGAUUCUCUCAUUCCACCAAAACGUGCACUCAAGCAGUAUGCCAGACUCUCAAAACCAUAAAACUUUCUGUCUGUAUGACAUAAUUUGGGUAACAACUUACUUUUAUGUGAAAAACAUCCACGAUGCCGUGUUAAAUGUAUUGAAUUAAUAUGCUACUGAUGAGAUUGUGAUAAUUAGUCUGUAAAAUGUUUUACAGAUUUUCUCCAGAGGUUUUUGUUUUGUAGACAAAGGCGAUGUGGUCAAUACUAGCAGAGAGAGACUUGUGAAAAUUCUUCUAACAAAUGUAAGCAAUAGAUGUCAUUAUUAAAAUGGCAUUUAUCUGGGUCUUAUUUGGCUUCCAAAAGCCACCCUUUUUAAUCCUACAUUAGUCUAAGGUUUUGAAACAAUAAAUGUAAGUAUGUAUACAUAUUGUGUAUUUGAUGACUCUAAAAAUAUAUAUAUGGCCAAAGGUUUUUUCAAAUUGAAGUGUCCCUUUUUUGAUAUCAUGGUUCAUUUCACCUGGGGUUGCACUAUAUAUUGGUGUUGUAUCGGUUACUGGUGAUAUUAGAGGCUUCUUUUCAUAAAAUUGGUAGCUAUAAGUUUAAAUGUGAUAUACACAAGUUCAAAAGUUUGGAGGCAG
rnacentral:lncRNA from 1 species